AGCAGUCGCCGCGGGAAUACGGAGGGGGCUAGCGUUGUUCGGAAUUACUGGGCGUAAAGCGCACGUAGGCGGCUUGGUAAGUUAGAGGUGAAAGCCUGGAGUUCAACUCCAGAAUUGCCUUUAAGACUGCCGAGCUAGCAGGUGAGAGAGGUAAGUGGAAUUCCGAGUGUAGAGGUGAAAUUCGUAGAUAUUCGGAAGAACACCAGUGGCGAAGGCGGCUUACUGGCUCAUACUGGACGCUGAGGUGCGAAAGCGUGGGGAGCAAACAGGAUUAGAUACCCCGGUAGUCCCUGUCUCUUAUAC
rnacentral:rRNA from 1 species